ACUCAAAUGAAUAGACGGGGGCCCGCACAAGCGGUGGAGUAUGUGGUUUAAUUCGAUGCAACACGAAAAACCUUACCUACUUUUGACAUCUAGAGAAUUUGAUUGAAAGAUUGAAGUGCCGCAAGGAGCUCUAAGACAGGUGCUGCAUGGCUGUCGUCAGCUCGUGUUGUGAAAUGUUGGGUUAAGUCCUGUAACGAGCGCAACCCCUGUUCUGUGUUGCUAACAUUAAGUUGAGGACUCGCAGAAGACUAUCGGUGAUAAACCGGGGGAAGGUGGGGACGACGUCAAGUCAUCAUGGCUUUCACAAGUAGGGCUACACACGUGCUACAAUGGUUGGUAUAAAGGGACGCGAACUCGUAAGAGGGGGCAAAUCUCAAAAAACCAAUCUCAGUCCGGAUUGAGGUCUGAAACUCGACCUCAUGAAGUCGGAAUCGCUAGUAAUCGCAAAUCAGAAGGUUGCGGUGAAUACGUUCUCGGGCCUUGCACACACCGCCCGU
rnacentral:rRNA from 1 species